UACGUAGGGUGCAAGCGUUGUCCGGAAUUAUUGGGCGUAAAGAGCUCGUAGGCGGCUUGUCGCGUCGGCUGUGAAAACCUGGGGCUCAACCCCGGGCCUGCAGCCGAUACGGGCAAGCUAGAAUUCGGUAGGGGAGACUGGAAUUCCUGGUGUAGCGGUGAAAUGCGCAGAUAUCAGGAGGAACACCAAUGGCGAAGGCGACUACCUGGCCUGUUCUUGACGCUGAGGCGCGAAAGCUAGGGGAGCAAACGGG
rnacentral:rRNA from 1 species